CUAUUAACGCAACAGUCAAAAUUAGCCCAUCCUAUCCGAAACCGGUAUCUUUCUAAAUUAACAAUACUUAUUUACUAUACUGGUUGAUGAAAGUGGCGGUGCUGUUUUGUCUCUGCUCGUGUAGAUGGGCUCGUGUUAUGUACGACUUUGCUGCUGAGCCUGGAAACAACGAGCUGACCGUCAGUGAAGGGGAGAUCAUCACAAUUACCAACCCGGAUGUCGGUGGAGGGUGGUUAGAAG